GAGCAAUCUGCCCCUGACUCUGGGAUAAGCGCUGGAAACGGCGUCUAAUACCGGAUACGAGCUGCGGCCGCAUGGUCGGCAGUUGGAAAGAUUUUUCGGUCAGGGAUGAGCUCGCGGCCUAUCAGCUUGUUGGUGAGGUAAUGGCUCACCAAGGCGUCGACGGGUAGCCGGCCUGAGAGGGUGACCGGCCACACUGGGACUGAGACACGGCCCAGACUCCUACGGGAGGCAGCAGUGGGGAAUAUUGCACAAUGGGCGGAAGCCUGAUGCAGCAACGCCGCGUGAGGGAUGACGGCCUUCGGGUUGUAAACCUCUUUUAGCAGGGAAGAAGCGAAAGUGACGGUACCUGCAGAAAAAGCGCCGGCUAACUACGUGCCAGCAGCCGCGGUAAUACGUAGGGCGCAAGCGUUAUCCGGAAUUAUUGGGCGUAAAGAGCUCGUAGGCGGUCUGUCGCGUCUGCUGUGAAAUCCCGAGGCUCAACCUCGGGUCUGCAGUGGGUACGGGCAGACUAGAGUGCGGUAGGGGAGAUUGGAAUUCCUGGU
rnacentral:rRNA from 1 species